UGUUCUUCAAUUGUGUGUUUAUGUGAAUUUCGUCAACAUGCAUGAAGUUAUUUGCUCAAUCCAUACAUAAUUAAAUGGUCACGUACAAAUUCACUAGAGCAUCAAUUAAGCUUUCGUUGAGUUGUCAACUUGCCACUGGUUGAAAAUGUACGUGUGUGUGUGUUUUUUUUAAUGUGUUUAUUAGUAGCAUAUUUUUCUCCUUCUCUCAAGAAAUCAAGUUCUCUACAAAUGGUUUGAAACUUAUAGUUUAUGUCAUGCUAGCUUAAUUAAUGCUUUAUCUUUACGUUAUACAAAGUUUUAAGUUUCCCUGUGAACGCAUGUACACAUUAUACUUUAUAUAAUCUAAUCUCCAUCACCAUGUUUUGAUUUCUCAUGCUUUAUGCUUGAGUUGCUUAUUGUCCAUUGCAAUGUUCUCGUAGUUAUAUGAUGCAUGCAUUUCAUAUCAUUGUUUAGGUAUA
rnacentral:misc_RNA from 1 species